rnacentral:lncRNA from 1 species
AUCAAUCUGCUACUGAGAGACCAAACGGGGGGGAUUUAUGUGGGAGACAGUGAACCGUUGCUCUCUUUUAACUGUGAUUUCGGUGAAAUUUGCAAACAAAAUGGGAACACGAAUUGGGGGAACUGAACCGAGAGAGGAGAGGGGAAUUGGGGGAACUGAACAGAAGAGGGGAAUUAGGGGAACUGAACAGAAGAGGGGAAUUGGUGGAACUGGGGGAACGGGGAAUUGGGGGAACUGAACAGAAGAGGGGAAUUGGGGAAACUGGGGGAACGGGGAUUGGUUUAUCUUGCUGGUUUAAACUUGCUCCUCUGCUGGUUUUUGGAUUCUGAUUAGUUUAUUUCUUAACAUGAAUCCACCCAAUUUGAUUUGAACUCCCAUUCUCGUGGAACUCAGGGUUCUGCAAAUUUUCGUUCGGUGAAGUUUGAAAAGUGAGAAACACCAAUCGAAGAUCCUAUCCACCUUCAGUGCCACCGAAUGUCAUAUAGAAUGAAAAACCAUACAAGCUGCUUCAAAUCUACAAUUUUGUGGCUCAGUACUGGCAAAUGAAGGUUGUAUGGCUUCGGCACUGGUACAUGGUGAUAUCAAAAUGGUUCCUUUUUUUUUUCUUUAUUUUGUGUUUAGGUUCAUAGGAAGAGAGUGUUGUAAAAUAUCUCCAUGAAGUCACAAAACUAUGAUCUAGAUCAAUAGCGGAUACACAUGUAAUUCCCACUAACUUUUUCAUCUGUUCGUAAUGGUUCUAUCUUGCUAUGUUUCUCCAG